GAGGGCAGAGCUCAGUGGUGGAGUGCGUGCUUAGCGUGCAUGAAGUCUGGGUUCAAUCCCCAGUACCUCCA
rnacentral:tRNA from 1 species